rnacentral:rRNA from 1 species
GACGAACGCUGGCGGCGUGCUUAACACAUGCAAGUCGAACGAUGAAGUUCCUUCGGGAAUGGAUUAGUGGCGAACGGGUGAGGAACACGUGAGAAACCUGCCUUUCAUUUUGGGAUAACUCCGGGAAACCGGGGCUAAAACCGAAUACUCCGUCUCGGCAGCAUCUCGGAGCCGGGAAAAAAUUUUGAUGAAAGAUGGUCUCGCGGCCUAUCAGCUAGUUGGUGGGGUAAUGGCUCACCAAGGCAACGACGGGUAGCGGGCCUGAGAGGGCGACCGGCCACACUGGGACUGAGACACGGCCCAGACUCCUACGGGAGGCAGCAGUGGGGAAUAUUGGGCAAUGGGCGCAAGCCUGACCCAGCGACGCCGCGUGAGGGAUGAAGGCCUUCGGGUUGUAAACCUCUUUCAGUAGGGAAGAAGCGAAAGUGACGGUACCUAAAGAAGAAGCACCGGCUAACUAUGUGCCAGCCGCCGCAGUAA